rnacentral:rRNA from 1 species
UACGGGGGGGAGCAAGCGUUGUUCGGAUUUACUGGGCGUAAAGGGCGCGUAGGCGGCGUGACAAGUCACUUGUGAAAUCUCCGGGCUUAACUCGGAACGGUCAAGUGAUACUGUCGUGCUAGAGUACAGAAGGGGGCAACUGGAAUUCUCGGUGUAGCGGUGAAAUGCGUAGAUAUCGAGAGGAACACCUGCGGCGAAGGCGGGGUUGCUGGGCUGAUACUGACGCUGAGGCGCGAAAGCUAGGGGGAGCAAACGGGG